rnacentral:rRNA from 1 species
AUGAACGCUGGCGGCGUGCCUAAUACAUGCAAGUCGCGCGAACGGACGAGAAGCUUUCUUCUCUGAUGUUAGCGGCGGACGGGUGGGUAACCCUUGGAUAACCUACCUAUAAAACUGGGAUAACUUCGGGAAACCGGAGCUAAUACCGGAUAAUUUUUUUCACCCCAUGGUUCAAAAGUUAAAACCGGUCUUGCUUUCACUUUUAGAUGGAUCCGCGCUGCAUUAGCUAGUUGGUAAGGUAACGGCUUACCAAGGCAACGAUGCAUAGCCGACCUGAGAGGGUGAUCGGCCACACUGGAACUGAGACACGGUCCAGACUCCUACGGGAGGCAGCAGUAGGGAAUCUUCCGCAAUGGGCGAAAGCCUGACGGAGCAACGCCGCGUGAGUGAUGAAGGUCUUCGGAUCGUAAAACUCUGUUAUUAGGGAAGAACAUAUGUGUAAGUAACUGUGCACAUCUUGACGGUACCUAAUCAGAAAGCCACGGCUAACUACGUG